rnacentral:rRNA from 1 species
ACGCUGGCGGCGUGCUUAACACAUGCAAGUCGAACGGAAAGGCCUAAGCUUGCUUGGGUACUCGAGUGGCGAACGGGUGAGUAACACGUGAGUGAUCUGCCCUCAACUUCGGGAUAAGCCUGGGAAACUGGGUCUAAUACUGGAUAGGACCAUCCUUUAGUGUGUGAUGGUGGAAAGUUUUUUCGGUUGGGGAUGAGCUCGCGGCCUAUCAGCUUGUUGGUGGGGUAAUGGCCUACCAAGGCGUCGACGGGUAGCCGGCCUGAGAGGGUGUACGGCCACAUUGGGACUGAGACGCGGCCCAGACUCCUACGGGAGGCAGCAGUGGGGAAUAUUGCACAAUGGGCGGAAGCCUGAUGCAGCGACGCCGCGUGAGGGAUGACGGCCUUCGGGUUGUAAACCUCUUUCGACAGGGACGAAGCUUUUGUGACGGUACCUGUAUAAGAAGCACCGGCUAACUACGUGCCAGCAGCCGCGGUAAUACGUAGGGUGCGAGCGUUGUCCGGAAUUACUGGGCGUAAAGAGCUCGUAGGUGGUUUGUCGCGUCGUCUGUGAAAUUCCGGGGCUUAACUCCGGGCGUGCAGGCGAUACGGGCAUAACUUGAGUGCUGUAGGGGAGACUGGAAUUCCUGGUGUAGCGGUGAAAUGCGCAGAUAUCAGGAGGAACACCGAUGGCGAAGGCAGGUCUCUGGGCAGUAACUGACGCUGAGGAGCGAAAGCAUGGGGAGCGAACAGGAUUAGAUACCCUGGUAGUCCAUGCCGUAAACGGUGGGCGCUAGGUGUAGGGGACUUCCACGUCUUCUGUGCCGUAGCUAACGCAUUAAGCGCCCCGCCUGGGGAGUACGGCCGCAAGGCUAAAACUCAAAGGAAUUGACGGGGCCCGCACAAGCGGCGGAGCAUGUGGAUUAAUUCGAUGCAACGCGA